GAUGAAGAACGUAGCGAAAUGCGAUAAGUAAUGUGAAUUUCAGAAUUCAGUGAAUCAUCGAAUCUUUGAACGCACAUUGCGCCCGCCAGUAUUCUGGCGGGCAUGCCUGUUCGAGCGUCAUUACUACCCUCAGGCCCCCGGGCCUGGCGUUGGGGAUCGGCGGAAGCCCCCUGCGGGCACAACGCCGUCCCCCAAAUACAGUGGCGGUCCCGCCGCAGCUUCCAUUGCGUAGUAGCUAACACCUCGCAACUGGAGAGCGGCGCGGCCACGCCGUAAAACACCCAACUUCUGAACGUUUGACCUCGGAUCAGGUAGGAAUACCCGCUGAACUUAAGCAUAUCAAUAAGCGGAGGA
rnacentral:misc_RNA from 1 species